GUUGUCGUGGCCGAGUGGUUUAGGAUAUAGGCUAUAAGUCUUUUGGGAUCUUCCCGCGCAGGUUCGAAUCCUGCCGACACG
rnacentral:tRNA from 1 species